UACGUAGGGGGCAAGCGUUGUCCGGAAUCAUUGGGCGUAAAGCGCGUGUAGGCGGCCCGAUAAGUCCGCUGUGAAAGUCCAGGGCUCAACCCUGGAAUGCCGGUGGAUACUGUCGGGCUCGAGUCCGGAAGAGGCGAGUGGAAUUCCUGGUGUAGCGGUGGAAUGCGCAGAUAUCAGGAGGAACACCAAUAGCGAAGGCAGCUCGCUGGGACGGUACUGACGCUAAGGCGCGAAAGCGUGGGGAGCGAACAGG
rnacentral:rRNA from 1 species